rnacentral:lncRNA from 1 species
AUCUUCAUUUCUAUGGCUUAAAAAGAAAGCUGGGGUUCUCUGGUUGGGUUGAGACAGGGAGGAAGGCUGUUCUCCCAGCCUGAAAGAGCUGCCUCUGUUGCCCCGUGUCCCUGUGACCUUCUGUGCUGUUUGGAGAAAGGAGGCUGUGUGAGUCUCCGCAUAAUGGAGACUGAAGGGAUGCUGGCUUUUGAAAGCCCUCACCUCUCCAUUCUCUCCCUGGGGAAACUGGGGGAUAAUUGGGGAUUAUAUGCAGCCUCUAGGACACAGGGCCCUUUCAGCAUGACUGUCUCCUGGGAUUGGCUGUAUU